UACAGAGGUCCCAAGCGUUGUUCGGAUUCAUUGGGCGUAAAGGGUGCGUAGGCGGCGCGGUAAGUCGGGUGUGAAAUCUCGGAGCUUAACUCCGAAACUGCAUUCGAUACUGCCGUGCUUGAGGACUGGAGAGGAGACUGGAAUUUACGGUGUAGCGGAUGAAAUGCGUAGAUAUCGUAAGGAAGACCAGUGGCGAAGGCGGGUCUCUGGACAGUUCCUGACACUGAGGCACGAAGGCCAGGGGAGCAAACGGG
rnacentral:rRNA from 1 species